GACGGAGGAUGCAAGCGUUAUCCGGAAUUAUUGGGCGUAAAGCGUCCGCAGGUGGCUGUUCAAGUCUGCUGUCAAAGCGCAGAGCUUAACUCUGUACAGGCGGUGGAAACUGAAGAGCUAGAGUAUGGUAGGGGUAGAGGGAAUUCCCGGUGUAGCGGUGAAAUGCGUAAAUAUCGGGAAGAACACCAGUGGCGAAAGCGCUCUACUGGGCCAUAACUGACACUGAGGGACGAAAGCUAGGGGAGCGAAAGGG
rnacentral:rRNA from 1 species